rnacentral:sRNA from 1 species
CAUCCUUUACGGUCAUAUUAACCUCGCUGUAUAGAUGACGCUAAAGGAUGGAAUUUUCGCUGCGUCAAUUUUUACCAGAAUUAUGGCCCUUUGUUACUUUUACUAUAUACCCCAUUAUGAAAAUUUUUGUGUGUUGAACUCCUCACAAACUGUUGGUAGGAAUUUCUUCAAACUUUCACACAUGAACAACCUCGAUGUUAAUAUGACCGUAAAGGAUGGAAUUUUCGCUGCGUCAAUUUUUACCAGAAUUAUGGCCCUUUGUUACUUUUACUAUAUACCCCAUUAUGAAAAUUCUUGUGGGGUUGAACUCCUCACAAACUGUUGGGUGGAAUUUCUUCAAACUUUCACACAUGAACAACCUCGAUGUAUAGAUGACCAUAAAGGAUGGAAUUUUCGCUGCGUCAAUUUUUACCAGAAUUAUGGCCCUUUCUUACUUUUACUAUAUACCCCAUUAUGAAAAUUCUUGUGUGUUGAACUCCUCACAAACUGUUGGGUGGAAUUUCUUCAAACUUUCACACAUGAACAACCUCGAUGUAUAGAUGACCGUAAAGCAUGGAAUUUUCGCUGCGUCAAUUUUUACCA